rnacentral:rRNA from 1 species
CCUACGGGAGGCAGCAGUGGGGAAUAUUGCACAAUGGGGGAAAGGCUGAUGCAGCAAAGCCGCGUGAGGGAAGAAGGAUCUCGGGAUGGAAAGCUCUAUCAGCAGGGAAGAAGAUGACGGUACCUGAGGAAGAAGCCGCGGCUAACUACGAGCCAGAAGCCGCGGGAAUACGUAGGGGGCAGGGGUUAUCCGGAGUUAAUGGGGGUAAAGGGAGCGCAGAGGGGAGUGCAAGUGUGGCGGGAAAGCCCGGGGCCUCACCCCGGAACCGCGCUGGAAACUGUGCGGCUAGAGUGCGGGAGGGGCAGGCGGAAUGCCUGGUGUAGCGGUGAAAUGCGUAGAUAUCAGGAGGAACACCAGUGGCGAAGGCAGCCUACUGG